GUGCUCACUUCAGCACAUACACUAAAAUUGGAACGAUACAGAGAAGAUUAGCAUGGCCCCUGUGCAAGGAUGGCAUGCUUUUAAAAUAAAAAAAAAUUUU
rnacentral:snRNA from 1 species